AUUAUACUCCCUCCGUCCGAAAAUACUUGUCAUCAAAAUAGAUAAAAAAAAGAUGUAUCUAGAACUAAAAUACAUCUAGAUACAUCUCCUUUUAUCCAUUUUGGUGACAAGUAUUUCCGGACAGAGGGAGUACUAG
rnacentral:pre_miRNA from 1 species